CCUGGCCCAAGAGAUUGGGUACAGAUUCUACAGGAUCAAAUUAAACUGGCCAGAAGAAGGUUAAAAAGAGGCUCAGCAGAGAUUGCGGACAGUGAUGAAAGACUGGAUGGCAUGUCUCUACCACCAACAGGUAAUAUAUUUGACACCAGGAGAGAAAACACGGAGGAUACAGAACCAGGUUUCAUUGCCUAGACUUUGAUUUUAGGGACAUUGUUCAGUGGCAUAUGUAACUUCUGUUUGAAUUUCCGCAAAGAUCCACGUAGCAUUUCAGGUUCCUGCAAAGUGUGGGUGUUCUGUGAAGUUUACCUGUCAUGUUUGAAUAGUUUCAUAUACUUUCUUUGUAAUGUGUGAUAACCAAGCCUCCAAUUUGGUAUAAGAUUUUUUAAAUCAUUUUUAGGGUUGAUUUGUUACCCUUUAAAAGUCCAGCAUAUGAUUCAGUUAGUUCAUUGUCCGUUAUAAAGAAGUGGUUCUCUCUUCCCUGUUUUCAUUCAAAACCUCAGUGUAAAUGUAGAGCUUUGAAACUUAUUUAUUUUAAUGUAAAUUGCUUAGAUGCA
rnacentral:sRNA from 1 species